rnacentral:snRNA from 1 species
GGAUGUAAGGGUGAUCUGGCUGUGACGUCUGUCACCCCAUUGAUUGCCAAGGUUGAUUCGGCUGACCUACGCGCGUCCCCUUCCUCCCUCAACGAUCCAUGUACAUCCGUCCUGAAGCUGAGCGCUCAGUCAAAGAGGAUGACCACCCUGGACAGAGGAGGACUGUUCCUCGGUCAGGGGUAUACGAGUAGCUGCGCUCGCCUGCUAGAACCUCCCAAGUUCCCAGAAUCUGAGGAAAUCUGAAAAUGUUUUAGAUACCCAGUCAAUAUUGGGUUUCCAAACAUGUGUACAU